UAAAGAUUACUAGAUGGGUCUUUUCUGUCUGUAAUGGCUUGUCACAAAAUAGAUAUUUGCCAAACCUUUUAUUUGUCCAAAUUACAUUAUAGUUAAUUAUUAAUGGGUGUGUUUUAUUAGUAGGUGUGGUUUUGAUUGUACAGUGAUACAAGAGAAGAUGCUUCAAGGGAUGAUGAUGGUGCCAGUGAGUGGAUGAAUUAAGAAAAGAAAGACGAUAAAUCCAUUUUGACAAAGACAGGCGGAGCUUAUAUUCCCCCAGCUCGAUAAAAAAUCAUGCAAACACAGAUACGACCAGUGCUCCAUAUCAAAGGAUGGCAUGGGAGGCUCUUAAUAAGAGUAUUAAUGGUCUGAUUAACAAGGUUAAUGUGUCAAAUAUUGCCAACAUUGUCAGGGAGUUAGUACAAGAAAGUUUAGUCCAUGGGUGGUAAAAUACUUACAUGUAUACUCUAAUUAUUCAUUUUCAAUAUUAUUUUGUUCUUUUUAUUAGAGGAUUAUUGGCACUUGCUGUCAUAGCUUAGUCAGCCUCACCCACCUUUACUAAGGUGUACGCUGCACUUGCAGUCAUUAAUGUAAAAUUUCCUCAAAUCAAGGAGCUAAUUACUAAGAGACUGAUUAUUUGUUUUCAUAAAGCCUUUGCAAGAAACAACAAGAUUAUUUGUUUGUCGUCUGUCAGUGACUGUAUUACUGGAAGAUCCUACGAGCUACUGGUCAACUUGAAAAAAAUUAUAACAAUUAUUGAGAAGUAUUAAUUGCUAUGACAAAGCCUGACCGACCCCUUAUUGCCCAGGUGAUGUUGUACUCUCAGGGUUUCAGGACUGCCGAGACACUCACUAGCAAGAUACAUUGUAGUACCUUUAUUUAAAUUGUGUGAUGAGCAGUUAUCCAAUCAGUCUCACUAUGACUUUGGUCUGAGAGCCCUAAAGAGUGUACUGGUGAGUGCUGGUAAUAUCAAGAGGGACAGGAUCCAGCAACUGAACCGAGAACUGGCAGCUCAAGGACAGACACUGGAGGAAACUGAUCUAUCUAAGCAACUUUAUGAACAAGAGGA